UACGGAGGGUGCAACCGUUGCUCGGAAUCAUUGGGCGUAAAGCGCACGUAGGCGGCUCGUUAAGUCGGAUGUGAAAGCCCUCGGCUCAACCGAGGAAGUGCAUACAAAACUGGCGAGCUUGAAUAUGGAAGAGGGUCGCGGAAUUCCCGGUGUAGAGGUGAAAUUCGUAGAUAUCGGGAGGAACACCAGUGGCGAAGGCGGCGCCCUGGUCCGUUUCUGACGCUGAGACGCGAAAGCGCGGGGAGCGAACGGG
rnacentral:rRNA from 1 species